rnacentral:rRNA from 1 species
UACGUAGGGGGGCAAGCGUUGUCCGGAAUCAUUGGGCGUAAAGCGCGUGUAGGCGGCCCGGUAAGUCCGCUGUGAAAGUCCAGGGCUCAACCCUGGGAUGCCGGUGGAUACUGUCGGGCUCGAGUCCGGAAGAGGCGAGUGGAAUUCCUGGUGUAGCGGUGAAAUGCGCAGAUAUCAGGAGGAACACCAAUGGCGAAGGCAGCUCGCUGGGGACGUGACUGACGCUGAGACGCGAAAAGCGUGGGGGAGCAAACAGG